UUGAACAAUUAUCACUUUUAAUAGAUUUUGGGGGACCAACUGAUUGAUUCCAAACAAAGAGAGUCAUACUUAACGCGAAAGCUCCUUCUUGAGCCAACACACAACAUAACCGUUAACCACUGCUCACGCCACCACCGGAAUAUUCUUCUCCGCCGCAUACCACCACCAUCAGUGUUUUCAGUUAAUUUGAUGGAUACCAUUAAUCAAGGUGCUGAACUGAAUAUGGAUCCUAGUGAUUGGAGAGGUCAAUUUCCAGCUGAAUCACGCCAAAGAAUUGUCAACAAAAUCUUGGAGACAUUAAAAAGCCAUCUUCUUGUUUCUGGUGAAGAGGGAUUGCAUGAACUUUGGAAGAUUGCCUGACGGUUUGAAGACAAGAUUUUUACUUCUGCAACAAGCCAAGUACAUCUCUAAUUAGAUGCCUCGUGAUUAUUGAUUUAUAGAUGCCUCGUGAUUGCAUGAAUAUGGAAGAUUGACAAUUUAUUGUGGCAUUCCCUAAUUUCAGUCUGAUUAUCUACAGAAAAUAUCUUCGAAGAUGCUUACAAUGGAGACUAGAUCCCAGGUCCAAAACCCUGUAGCCAACAAUUUACCAUCAAAUCAAGUUGGCCCUAGCAAUGAACCUCCUAACCCAGAACACUCACCAGACAGCACUUAAUGCUGAUUUGAUAAACUGAUUCCUCCAAAUUCUUGUGAAGUUGCUCUGAAGUGUGAUUAUGUAGUUUUGAACUGUGAUCUGAAUGCUGCUUGUGGAGGUCUUAUACAAGAUGAUCAAGGACACUUUGUUUUCCAUUAUGCUAAUAAGCUUGGAUCUUGCUCAGUUUUGCAAGCAGAACUGUGGGGGAUUUGACAUGGUCUCAGCAUAGAUUGGAAUAGAGGCUACAGUAAGAUUAGAGUUUACUACGACUCUAGGCUUGUUAUUCGAUUGCUUAAAGACAGUUGUCUUAAUACUCAUUUAUGUUAUUGACUCAGUUGUCCGGAUUCAUCGGUAUUAUGGAGAUAUUCAGUGGAUCCAUGUUUUGCUAGAGUCUAACCAGGGUUUUUAUUAGAUGCACUUGGGAUUUUUGAGUUUCUUCCUACCUUUAUUUCAAAAAUGUUUUAUUAGCAAACACUGCUUGUAUUUCAUUUCCUAAAUAUUUUUAUGCUUUUGUUUUUGGAGCCUA